rnacentral:lncRNA from 1 species
AUCGAGAAAUUUUAUUUUGGCCAGGAGCUGAAGUUGGUUGUUUAGUAGUAGUAGUUUGAGUAGUGACCGAAGUAGUAGUCUGGUGUGUGGGUGCAAGAGUAGUUGGGGAAGAAUUAGGUGUGGGUGGGGCAGCUGUGGUCUCUGGUGGAGCUGAGGCGGAUGAUGGGUCUAGGGUAGUUGCAGAAGGUGUGGGUGGGACAGCUGUGGUCUCUGGUGGAGCUGAGGAAGAUAGUGGAGCUGGUGUAGUUGCAGAAGGUGUGGGUGGGGCAGCUGUGGUGUCUUGUGGAGCUGGGGAAUUCACUGGUGCUAAUGUAGCUACAGAAGAGCUUGUGUUAACAUUUUCUCUUGAAGAUAUGGUGGUGGCAUUCUGGGGAAGAAAAGUCACAUUUGGAAGGGUAGUAAUUUUGGUGGAAGCUUAGGCCUACAGCGUUUGUGCAGACAUUUAUAGGACUUUCUAAUGAACGGCUUCUGGUGAGCUAGCA